CUCAGGGCUCAUCCACCUACUCAGGAGAAUUUAAACUCACUCAGAGCCUUGCAGAGUCUAACAGACUGGUGUUACUUCUGCUGGAAUCAAUGGGAGAGUGGCUGUUGAAUUAGGGAGUGGGAUGCACCCUAAAUAAUACAGGAAUGGUGAACAAUUCGUGAGGAUUGUGAUGGCUGACAAACUUGGAGAGAAUCAGCUCUGAAGAUAACGAAGCAUUUGCCUGCAGAGUUCGGUUGAAAAACCAGAUAUUUAAUAAUACGCUUUAUAACUCUGAUAGUGAAAGCUAUGUAACAGUGUCUGAAAGUCUCAGAGCAGAGGUUGUUGAAGCAAUGCAUGCUGAACUGGGGAAUGCCCACUCUGAUAUUUUGGUGCUGGGGCUAAGACCUGGCAGUGUGAUCGCUGAUUUUCUCUUCCUGCUGCCAAAAGAAGAAGCCAGGGAUGUGGGUGAUAUAAAGACACUCCUGAGUAAUGUAUUAAGGAGCAAGUUUGGGAACCAAAGUGAAGUGCAAACUCUGUCUGUUCAGUCAUCAACUGACAACAGCUCCUCCUGGAGAGUAGCAGUGAUUGUCCUUGGAGUUUUACUUGGAGUUGCAUUACUGCUGAUUCUGCUGGCAGUACUGUUUUACAUCUAUGUGAGGAGAAGAUCAGGUAUGGAAUUUUCCCCAUUGUACACACGGUAGAGUGAGGAACAGAGAAACUUCUCUUCAGCCUAUCCUCUAUAGGUACUGCAAUGACUCCUAACACUGGCAAUCUAGAGAGAAAAGACCCAAACUACUCAAUACUGUA